rnacentral:lncRNA from 1 species
AGAAGAAGCAGAACAACAAAGAAGUAGUUGUUGGCACAGUGGGCUCAUGCCUAUAAUCCCACCACUCUAGGAGGCUGAAGCAGGAGAAUUACUUGAGUUUGAAAGUUCAAGACCAGCCUGGCAUUAUGGCGAGACCCCAUCUCUACAAUUUUUAAAAAAAUAACUGCACUUUAAAUAGAAUGUCUAAGGGAGACGACUGAAAUUCAGCAAGGGAGAGACAAAAACCCUCAGAAACACAGAAAUUUGGUAUAGCAGCACAGAGAGGGAAGUAAAGCACUUAUCUGAGAUUGGCUUGGAACCGAGAGAGACUCCCCACUAGAGGAAAAAGAUGUCAGUUCUUUGCCAGAUACUACGUUUUAGAAAUACAGAUGUGAGGACGAUUGCUAUUGUUGCUUUAGCACUAAAAAAAUGGCAAGUCAUACUGACAGUUUAGACUAAUGUUCACCUUCAACAUCAGUGGUAAGUAAAAUGGGAAGGUAAUUCCUUGCUUCUGAUGAAGAGGCCCAAUUUUCUGGACAAAGAUAAUUGCAACUGUAAUUUUGCAAGUGAAAAUUGUGCAGGUAUAAACUUAGCAUCAAAGUUUCCAUGGU